UGGGGAAUAUUGCACAAUGGGCGCAAGCCUGAUGCAGCCAUGCCGCGUGUAUGAAGAAGGCCUUCGGGUUGUAAAGUACUUUCAGCGGGGAGGAAGGCGAUAAGGUUAAUAACCUUGUCGAUUGACGUUACCCGCAGAAGAAGCACCGGCUAACUCCGUGCCAGCAGCCGCGGUAAUACGGAGGGUGCAAGCGUUAAUCGGAAUUACUGGGCGUAAAGCGCACGCAGGCGGUCUGUCAAUUCGGAUGUGAAAUCCCGGGCUCAACCUGGGAACUGCAUUCGAAACUGGCAGGCUAGAGUCUUGUAGAGGGGGGUAGAAUUCCAGGUGUAGCGGUGAAAUGCGUAGAGAUCUGGAGGAAUACCGGUGGCGAAGGCGGCCCCCUGGACAAAGACUGACGCUCAGGUGCGAAAGCGUGGGGAGCAAACA
rnacentral:rRNA from 1 species